rnacentral:rRNA from 1 species
AUUGAACGCUGGCGGCAGGCUUAACACAUGCAAGUCGAGCGGAGAUGAGGUGCUUGCACCUUAUCUUAGCGGCGGACGGGUGAGUAAUGCUUAGGAAUCUGCCUAUUAGUGGGGGACAACAUUCCGAAAGGAAUGCUAAUACCGCAUACGUCCUACGGGAGAAAGCAGGGGAUCUUCGGACCUUGCGCUAAUAGAUGAGCCUAAGUCGGAUUAGCUAGUUGGUGGGGUAAAGGCCUACCAAGGCGACGAUCUGUAGCGGGUCUGAGAGGAUGAUCCGCCACACUGGGACUGAGACACGGCCCAGACUCCUACGGGAGGCAGCAGUGGGGAAUAUUGGACAAUGGGGGGAACCCUGAUCCAGCCAUGCCGCGUGUGUGAAGAAGGCCUUAUGGUUGUAAAGCACUUUAAGCGAGGAGGAGGCUACUGAGACUAAUACCCUUGGAUAGUGGACGUUACUCGCAGAAUAAGCACCGGCUAACUCUGUGCCAGCAGCCGCGGUAAUAC